rnacentral:tRNA from 1 species
GGCGUUGUACUUUAAGUAAAAAGAUUUGAUUUGCAUUCAAGAAUUAGGGCUGGGGCCCUCUGCGCCG